CCUACGGGGGGCAGCAGUGAGGAAUAUUGGUCAAUGGGCGCGAGCCUGAACCAGCCAAGUAGCGUGAAGGAUGACUGCCCUACGGGUUGUAAACUUCUUUUAAGGGGGAAGAGCAGAAGACGGUACCCCUUGAAUAAGCCACGGCUAACUACGUGCCAGCAGCCGCGGUAAUACGUAGGUGGCAAGCGUUGUCCGGAUUUACUGGGUGUAAAGGGCGUGCAGCCGGAGAGACAAGUCAGAUGUGAAAUCCACGGGCUCAACCCGUGAACUGCAUUUGAAACUGUUUACCUUGAGUGUCGGAGAGGUAAUCGGAAUUCCUUGUGUAGCGGUGAAAUGCUUAGAUAUCACGAAGAACUCCGAUUGCGAAGGCAGCUUACUAAACUGCCACUGACAUUGAUGCUCGAAAGUGUGGGUAUCAAACAGGAUUAGAUACCCCUGUAGUC
rnacentral:rRNA from 1 species